GCCCGCGAAGCUCAACUGGAUGAGCGCCCGGCUACGAACCGGGAGGAUGGGAGUUCGAGUCUCCCCGUGGGUGCCA
rnacentral:tRNA from 1 species